ensembl:snoRNA
AGCAGUUCUGCUUGUUUUGUUUGUCUAACUUGUGAAUAAUGCCUUAUACAUGGUUGCAAAAAAUAAAUCCUCUUUUGCAACCUAGAACUCAUUGCUCAGUAUGAGUUUUGACAUAUAAGAGCAAGUAUCCU